AGAGGAGAUCAGCUCCAGAUCGUCGCAAAUACCGAACGACAGUGGAGGAGGCCAAAAAUAACGUCAAUUCAAGUAGAAGAAUAAGCGAGCCUCUAUAGAUAUACAUCGUAACGAAAGCAAUUUUCAUGUCUUGCCAAAAAGUCGCCAGCAUUCAGCCCAAUGUUGUAAACAUUUCCAACGAUCGACCAGCGUCAAUGUCAGCACUUUAACAAGAGCCAAAAAAAAACAAUAAAAACAA